rnacentral:rRNA from 1 species
GACGAACCGUGCGAACGUUGUUCGUAAUAACUGGGCUUAAAGGGUGCGUAGGCGGGUCCGCCAGUCUGUGGUCAAAUCCUCCCGCUCAACGGGCGAACUGCCGUGGAUACUGCGGACCUCGAGGAAGAUAGGGGCGUGCGGAACAGAUGGUGGAGCGGUGAAAUGCGUUGAUAUCAACUGGAACUCCGGUGGCGAAGGCGGCACGCUGGGUCUUUUCUGACGCUGAGGCACGAAAGCUAGGGGAGCAAACGGG